rnacentral:lncRNA from 1 species
CCUUGGGACAGUGUAAAACUCUAGUAGUUCCUCUCCUCUUGUUGUAUGUCCAAAACAGUGAGGAGGCUAUAUUAGCUACUUGCAUUGUGAGCCCUGCUUCUGCUCUUUCUCCAAAAUUUGUGCUCUCAAGUCUUAAGAAUCGCAAAAAUAAAAAAAAAAUCUUGUUGUGGGAUUGGAAGAUGUUGGGAUUGAACCCGCUGAAACCAAAGUUGAGGCAUAACGCUUCAGAAAAACAUCUACUUUACUUUUAACAUAUUGCAUUUCACAACAAGUUUUGUAGUAUAUCACGGGCGACUAGAGAGGAUGAUAGCAUCACUGC